GAUGAACGCUGGCGGCGUGCCUAAUACAUGCAAGUCGAGCGAACGGACGAGAAGCUUGCUUCUCUGAUGUUAGCGGCGGACGGGUGAGUAACACGUGGAUAACCUACCUAUAAGACUGGGAUAACUUCGGGAAACCGGAGCUAAUACCGGAUAAUAUUUUGAACCGCAUGGUUCAAAAGUGAAAGACGGUCUUGCUGCCACUUAUAGAUGGAUCCGCGCUGCAUUAGCUAGUUGGUAAGGUAACGGCUUACCAAGGCAACGAUGCAUAGCCGACCUGAGAGGGUGAUCGGCCACACUGGAACUGAGACACGGUCCAGACUCCUACGGGAGGCAGCAGUAGGGAAUCUUCCGCAACGGGCGAAAGCCUGACGGAGCAACGCCGCGUGAGUGAUGAAGGUCUUCGGAUCGUAAAACUCUGUUAUUAGGGAAGAACAUAUGUGUAAGUAACUGUGCACAUCUUGACGGUACCUAAUCAGAAAGCCACGGCUAACUACGUG
rnacentral:rRNA from 1 species